GGCGACAAAGCUUAGCCCAUACCUCUUGGAAACGCCAGCCUAGCGGAGUUUGCCUUCAUUCAAUCUGUUACCACUCAAUCAACAUUAUAACUUAUCAAAAUACUGAACUUUAUAUGAAGUAAAAUGAAUGAAUAAAGAUGGGUAAUGGACCAAGAUUCAAAAGCUGGGGAGAUAAGGCGGGGGCGGCGGAGGUGUAAAGAAGAACGAUCAUCACCCUCUCAUUCCUCCCAGCCGGAUUGCUUCCGUCACAAGAAUUUGAAUUUCCUUUUGUUUUCUUUUUUUCUUUGAAUUAUUACCAUUAUAUUAAAGUGAGAAAGGACGAGAUGAAGUUGCGGCACAACAGAAAAGCCACCUCCAUGUUCUCUUCCCACUUGGGCGGCACCACAGCUAUGGACUCUGACUAAACUUCCUUUCAAGUUUCAACCAUCUCUCUCUCUCUCUCUCACUGUCUCUCCCCUGACGUUUCCAUCGGAAUUCCGACGCCUGAAAGGUUGGUGUUCCAUCUCUCGUCCGAUCGGCGAAGUGCGAGAUAUCCUCAUCCGAUUUACGUAAUUGCCCAUUCCUGAAUCGUUGGAUUUUCUUAGCCUCGUCACUCAAAACCCUGCAUCGGCACCUCCGCC
rnacentral:lncRNA from 1 species